UACGUAGGUCGCAAGCGUUGUCCGGAUUUACUGGGCGUAAAGAGCGCGCAGGCGGCUGGUCAAGUCCGAUGUGAAAUCUCCCGGCUCAACUGGGAAACUGCAUCGGAAACUGAUCGGCUUGAAGAUGGGAGAGGGUAGUGGAAUUCCCGGUGUAGUGGUGAAAUGCGCAGAUAUCAGGAGGAACACCGGUGGCGAAGGCGGGUCUCUGGGCCGAUACUGACGCUGAGGAGCGAAAGCGUGGGGAGCGAACAGG
rnacentral:rRNA from 1 species